rnacentral:sRNA from 1 species
CCUGCCAGCAUUGAAGAAUGUCACUUUUUGAAAAUUCUGCACGCCCACGACUGCAAGAAGCUUCAAGAAAUUAGAGGACUUCCAUUGAGUAUUAAGGAUUUCUCCGCAGCAAACUCUUCAGUUGAAGCCAACUCUUUGACAUUAAAACUCAGGCAGGCCAUUGAUUAUGGUGCAAUGGGAAUCUGUGUUCUUCCAGGUCGGAAAAUCCCAGAAUUGUUUGACCACUCU